AUUCCAAAGCCUUUGUUACUUGCUCCACCCCACAACUGCCUCACAAGCAUCCCAGAGUCCAGUCAGCAGACAGCAGAAGAGACUGUCAGCAGACCACCUUGGAGGGGAUGCUUGGAGCUGCCUAACGUGUGAUUCAAAGAUGAAUUCCAUGUGUUUGGAGAAGAAGCCCUAGCCUCAACACAAAGGUUGGCCACAUUCCAGCCAAGGUAGCACGGAGUGAAGGCCCGUGGAGGGAGAGCUGGGCUUUUCUGAACUACUUCAGUACACCUUGCUGUGCCUUGGCCUGCCGUGUUUCAUCCCCAUGGCUGUCCUCAGUGAUGUGCAUGGUCACUGCUCCCUUCACCACUGAGAAGACGGGCACAGGACAGUCAGGGGAUGUGUCCAAGGUCCCACAGCAGGAAGGGCUGGAGCCAGAAUGUGGUCUGAGAGGCUGGAUAUACAAAGAGACAAUGGCAUGACCAUCUGUACAAAUGGAACUAUGGCCCACAACCUGCAGCAGCCAGCCCAGGAAGCCAACCCGUCACCUGCAGCAGCCAGGAUGGAUGCUGGCCUGCCCUCACUGAUACUCAAGUCUAGUUUUAUAUGGCUCCAAACGCCUCCACCAUGAGCUCAAGGCAGUGAGACUGACUGAAAAACCCUCUCUAUUACAGACCACAACAUUGAACCCAACAUCCCCCUAAGUAGGUUGUACUCACAUCAUUGGUCUUAUGGGGAAAUUUUAAGACCUCCCACUUGUAAGGUUUUAUAGCCCUCUAUGGAAUAUUGAAGAAAGAGUAAAAUGCAUCCAAAAAAAAAAAAAAACACUAAACUGGAUAAAUUCUAAGGCCUCUUCAGGUCUUAAGAUGGCCAUUUUCUAGGUCCUCUUGCUGCAGCAGUGAAAUCCACAAACACGGACAAGUCAGUCAGUUACGUGCCUUUCAGAGAAAACUUCUGACUUAGGAAUUCCAGCUAUUUGGCCCAACCCAUAUUAGAUUGUGUUAUAAAGACAUGGUAAAUUACAUCACGAAGGGAAGAGCAGAGGAAACAUAAUAUUCCUUCAAGACCCAUCAGCUCAGAUGUUAGCAGAACACCCCUAAGGAGGAAAACAAGAAAUUUUGGGUUUGAACUUGGUACUUCCCAGCAGCCCUGGGAGUGGGGUCAGAAGCCCUGCUGGGGGCCAAAGAACUCUGAGGAUCAAAGAUGUUGAGCAUCACCUUAGAGGCCAAAGAUCAGAACAGUGGAGGUGGCCUUUGAAGCCCAACCUGUCUUUCACCAGAGAGUGAGAACGGCCUCUAUUUCCAGGAAGCUCACUGCAGCAAUAAUCAUGAUGCUCUGAGCCUGACAAGCAAAAGAAAACUUCUUUAGGAGGAUAAAAGGGAGAUGAAGAAACAGAAAACACAUCAGCUCUCCAUCCAGAUUACAGAAAGCAGAAAACAUCCUGAAGUGAAUAACAUAGGAAUCGCUCUUUUUCCCCCCUGAGAUAGCAGGUUACUUAUGAGAAACAAGCUUGAAAUCUCUGCACCUGGACCAGCUUCCAGAGGCUUUUGUCCUGACCAGCUGGCUUUGGGGAAGUAAAGGAAACCAGAGAAGAAGAGGCUGAAAGAAUUGGUUUCCACCGUGACCUUUGAACCCUCGGGCGAGUUGUCAGCCUCACUGAGGAUGAGUGUACUCCAUAUCAAGUGAGGUCACUUUACUCGCAAGCUUGUUGUGAGGACUGAAUGAAACCUUUUCUUUUUUCUUGGAGUUUCAGAGCAACGUCCCUGAGCCCAGCCCCACACUGGCUUGAGCCCUGUCGUCGGUCAAGACACGGUGCUUUCUCCCCUCCCCUCUGCACUCCAGCUUACUCUGCAGUCAGGAGGUGGCACCACGAUCCCCUUUAAGACUUUGCCACUUGGGCCAGCUGCGCCCCUGUGAAAUUCCCUGUUUCUAUUGCAGGCCACAAGGACGAGCUGAGAAAUGGCUUCCAGUCACCAUCUAGAUUAGAAAGCCUAUAUUUCAAAUAUAGAUAUAUCAAUUAUGCCUGUAAAAAGACAUUAAAUCCCACAGGGCUGUAAUUCCUAGACUCUACGAAUUUCAUCUUGCACCAAAUUUUAUUAUUUCAUUUAUAAUUCGGAUUCUUCAAAUCUAAGAGUGCCUGGCUCAAAAUUAAAAUACCUACAACUAUGCCAAAACUGGACUCUUUAAUUGCCUUACUGGAACCAGUAGCUGAUUCAAAGCAAAACGAAACAAAAUUCCUCCUUUCUCUGAUUUAGUGAAUCAAUGAUCUAACUGAACUCAUUUUUGGACUGAGUUUGCGGCACUUGCAGCCCUGAGGGACACAUUCCCCCACCACACUGAGCCUGCACUCCCAUCAAUGCAAAUGAACAUUUUGCUUAUUCAGAUUGGGGGGGUGAAGGAAGUCACAAAAGGGUUAAUACAUAUGGCAUUUCAUUGUAAUAUGUACUCACUACUAACUAAAUUAAAAGAGAUGUGAGUUAUUAAAAACUCCAUCUUAAGAAAGUAACAGAAAUCAGAGUUCAGAUUCGUUGUUACUGAGUUUCCAACCAACACCUGUGAGUUAAACCUACGGCCACCCUGAAAACGGUUCAUAUUUUCAAAAGCUUCAUCGAAGAUGAGCUGCACUAAAGAUUCAUAUUACAUAUCAUGCUGCAAUAAGAAAAUCAAAUAAGGCCUUUCCAUAUUCAAUAAUAAAGUUUAAAGAAAAGUAAUAUUUGUUUAGCCAGUUAGCCAGAAAUUAGAUGUAUCAGAAUACAUCAUUCUUUGAGCAUUUUAGAAAAAUCAGGGUAUUUCUACAUUGUGUUUUUCUUUGUAAGCCCUCAAAAAAUAUAGAGAAUAUUCUUGAAAUUAUAGUGUUUGUCUUCUGGAACAAAAAAUACUAAUCAAGGAAAUCUACAAAUUUAAUGGUUUAUUGAGUUUCCACAGGAAACACUGUGUGAGGAGGCUGAGGCUUAGAAGUUCAAAAACUAAAAGGAUUGUUAUGAUUUCGAUAAUAAUAUCUUAUGUCUGCACAACAUCUGAACUCAGUUCUUUCCUGAGGUUCUCUCAUUCUUCAAGCAGCCUCUGAGGUAGGCAGGAGCGAUAAUAUCGGUUCCAUUUUACAGUUAGGAAAACAGAGGCUCACAGAGUCCCAAGGCUUAGCGGGAACGUCCGCCCUGCUCUCUGGGUUCUGAAGAACACAGUCGUGAAGGAUGUAAGCCAUUUCACAUUUUAAGACGAAACAGAUAACUUGUGCUAAAUGCAUGUCCCAGCCCUGCCCUGAGGGCAGGUGGGCACCCGGUGGCCUGCAGGGCUGACAAUUGUGAGAGGGAAGCAAGCUGGGGAGGCUCCCUGGAGAGCUGGUGCAGAGCCUGGAGGACAAGGAAGAUGUGGGGCACGCGGAGAAGGAGACAAGGAAGUCGAAGCGGGUAAGGGCGCAGGAGGCCGGAUUUCCUGUGAUGCUGGACACGUGGCAGGACGCGGGGAGAGCCCGUGGUGCUGCAGGGUGGCAUGGGAAGCCCUGGAAGGUUGCCUGCUCUGCAGCAGCUGGAGGGAGCAAGACAGCCCUGUGGCUGGCAGGGUCAGAAGAAAUCUAAGAGGACUAAGAGCCAUAGCCUGCCCUCGAACUCAGGUGUGCUGUCUCCGAUUCAGGCGAAACUCAGGGUUCACCACUGAGAGACGUUUCACCCGGCCCUCAUGGUGCCCUCCUCAGGGUUCCACGGAAUCCUAACGCACGCUCCUCGUUUCAUUUUAGGCUUUGCAUUAAUUUCAACCUGUUCAAGACAUGAAAGCACUAGAGAGCUGAAAAAUUUUUGGAGGACUCCUUUCAAAUGUCAUGCUGCCAAGGCUCCCUGCUGCCUUUUCCAUAUUUAAUCAAAAGCACUCGGUUGCCUGCUUUCAAAGUCGUUAGUGCCAAGCCUCCUGCCCAACAGCCCUAAGCUGCAGCCCUUCAAAGUGCUGGGUGGACUGACCUCAGCCAAUCAGCCAAUCAGACAGCGUUGAGAAAUUCAGACCUUAAUGCUGAGUGAAUGCCCAGUGUCAUUUGUAGCUGAAUGCAGCCGUGUAAUGGGUGCUGGGUGAUUAUCUGUAAUGUAUGGAAAGCAAGAUGAGAAUCUCUUUUUACUCCUUCCCUUACUGUUUUCUAAUCUAAUUGACAAAGAGCUCAGGGAAGUGCAGUAAAAAUUCUUCUCUAGUCAGUGGGUGAAUUUUUUUUUUUUUAAUGUGAGAACAAUCAAAAAGUAUGAAGGAGAAUGAGCUGGAGUAACCUCGAUUUAAGAAAACAGUAACACUGUAUAUUAAAAAAAAAAAAG
rnacentral:lncRNA from 1 species